AACAUGAUCAGCCCGUAUCCCGGAGGGAAGAGCCUACCUCUCGGUGCAGCUGCUGGGCUUCUCUUGCCACCAGCAAUGAUUUUAAAGGGAAGGAAGCUUUGGCUGAGUGUUCUGCAUUUGCCCUGGAGCCAGGAUCCCCCCAUGACGGUGCGCGACUUGGCUUCUCCUGGGUCAGAGGUGGCUGACGGAGGCUGAUGGCACAUCCUUUUGGGUGCUUUCUUAUCACUUGAGAAAUUCAGGAACUGGCUCCUCCUGGGCUGUACCUGGGGUAAGAGGCUCAGAGGCUGUCCUGACAUCGCUGUGACCACAGUUUCACUAGCCUGAUGCAGUGCGUGCUUAUCAUCAUCUGAAAUUUCUGCUACUGGAAAGAGGGAAUCAUUCAGAAGACUUUGCUCUAGGGGGAUGCGUCGUUGCUGUAAACCUGCCAGCAAGUCAGAGCAGCGUCCCUCUGAGUCAAGUUCAUGGCUUGCCCCAGUGCCGCCUACCUCUCGAGCAUCCUGCUUAACCUCACAGCUGGCCGCCGCUACACAGCUGCCCAUCUCUGGAGCUGCUCAGCAAAACACACGCCAAGGAAAGCUGUGGGUUUCUGUCAGCUGGCGCGCCUACCACUGCGUCCUGGAGAGCCUGGAAGCACCCGGGCCUGGAGAGCAGAGGGAAGCCCCGUGCCCGCGGCACCACCCGCCCUCUGAUGUGCUCUGAGCUGUUUGGGGCCUCCAAGUGAUAGAUCUUCCCCGAGUCUUGCAGGCGUUUGCCAUUACAGUGCACGGAAGGCCAGUGCUGGCAUCUAUCCUGAGCUGAUGGGAGUCGCGGAGAUGUAAUGACGCUGUUGACACCGGGCGCUGGAUGUACGGAGCAGCUCGCCUCUGCAGGCUUUUGCCUCGGAACCUUUUGCUUUAGGUUCUAAUCAGCAAAAAUGGGUGACUAAAUAUAGUUACUACUGAUUGUCUGGCACUCUGAAGCAGUUGUUAAGGACAGGAGUAAAGCCUGUCAAGCAGUGGAGAGCGAGAAUCCAGCGACCCUCCCCAAGGGAUGCUGUGUUUAAGUUCCUGGGAAAGACACAGGGAUGCUGAAUGAGGCCAGAUUUUUGGCUUUCUGGACAUCAACCACACUGCCCGUCCUCUGCAGCCCCCUCCCGGGUCCCUGCGUUGCUGCCCCUGCCUCCGGCCGACGACGCAGGUCUGUAUUUGGGCACGAGGCAAAUCCCUCCCUUUCCCGCCCAGGGCCAUGUCCCAGGUCCGCCUGACAUCUCUGCCUGUCCGUACCCCUGUCAAGUGUCACCUCCGAAAUACAGAGACAUUCAAGGAUGGAGGGCCUUGUCCAGGCACGGGGAAGCGUGCCCAGCUGCGAACGCUGUGCUUCUGCCCAGCUCCCCCGCGCCGUCCGCAGCCUCGGCAGCGCCCUGGCCCCGCGCCCUCUUCCCUCCCGCUUCGCACCCUGCGAGGCAGCUCCCGGCUGAGCCGCCCUGCAACGCUUUGCUGCACGCGGCGGUGUUUUGUUUGCAGGCAGUUAGCAGGGGUUUUGUUCUGACCUGAAAUGCCUUUGCUGGCUCUUGCCUUCCGGAGAAACCACUGGAGACUGGAUGUUUUAUCAGAAAAAGCCUAGAGGGAACUGCGCCGGUUUGUAGUGACCGUAAGAGCUCACAACUCCCAUCUGGAAGUUCCCCAUGUCUUUGCACACAAUUUCCAGAAGUAUGUGUGUGUGUGUGACCUCCACGCAAGCCCCAACACAGCGUUUCUGGGGUGGAAAGCAGCAUUUGCGAACCCGGCCAUCUGGAGCAGUCCUCCUCUCCUCCCCACUUCAUCAAUUCUCCAGCUGUUUUCUGAUCUCAUCUGGAAGAAAAUCUCUCUUCUGCCUCCCCAGCCUGUCCCAUUGAUUUAUCUCUGCCUCAGUUCUUCUCCAUAGGUGCCUGUCCAUAAGAGGGGAUGCUUUAAUGUAUUCAUCACAUGGGACUUUAGUGCCAUUUCCUCCAGUAAUUUAUACCCUACUUCCACUGCUGACCCGCGUUAUUUGGCUCUUCAAAGCGUUUUAGGCAACAGCCAGUGGGGAAGGCACUCUCCAGAAGAGCCGUCUGACCCUGUGUCGUCGCCGGUGCUCAGUGGGGUUUGCAGCGGGCCUUGGGCUCCCUCGGUCUGUCAGGCUCCGGAGGGAGGCAGGUCACUCCUUGCUCCUGGAGCCGUCUCGCACCCCAACGCCUGGUUCUUGCCCCUGCGAUGUGUCACCUUGCAGGGCGCUGCCAGUGCCUGGGAGCUCCCCAAGGAUGAACUUGCCCGUUUUCCGGGCCAUGCAUGCUUGCUACGGGCAGGCUUUGCUCAGAGCACCGGGGUGCAAGCCGGGAGACGUCUCCUCGAGCGGAGCAGGAGGAGCAGCGGCCCUUUGAGGCCAGUGCAGGGAUCAGCCUUCAGGGCACGUUGCAGCUGCUGAAUUCUAGGGAGAGGAACAAAAAUUUGUAAAAGGACGAUAUUCUGCCAGUCCUUUGCUCGGCCUGAGUCAAUUAAUGCCCGUGAGAUGCCGGGAGAGCCCAGCGCGCGCUCUGCAGGGGCAGGAAAGGAAAAGGCUGCCGGGGCGCCAGCUGCGAGGUGGGUCCCACCCUGGGGCCACGCGGGAUGCCGCCAGCCACCGAGGAGGCAAAGGAGAGGCAAGAACAAAUGAAGUCUGGUUUGGGGUUUCUUGGCUCGAGAGACAGGGAUCAGCCCGAUAAUGAGGCGGCACGCUCUGAGGGCAGAGGAAGAGCUGAGGACAUGGUAGCUGCUCAUUAGCAGCUAGAGACGUGUUAGCUCCCGACACCAGCCUCUGGCGCUUGCUCCGGCCGGUUCAGAGGGAGCCUUUGAACGUCCCCGAGAAGGAGGGCUUGCGCCCUGCUCCCCGCUGCGGCUGCUCCUCAGCAAGCAGAGCAGCAGCUCUGAAGCUGUUCUGCUAAAGGCUUGAGAAAUUAAUUUUGCCUGUCAGAGAUUCAAAUGCACGGGUGUGAACUGAGGUUCAGCAAGGUAAGCUAACCCACCUGGCUGCUCUCCAGCUCCAGCAACGUUGCUCACAACGGGGAAGGGAAGACCAGCAAGUACCUGCCUGUGUAAGCUGGGCUUGUCUUCCGCAUAAAACAUGCCCUUAAUUAAUAGCAAGGAUGAACCUGAGUCACUAUCUCUGUUAUCAAUUUGUGGAUGUGGUUGGAUUGUCUGUCUCCCAGGACAGUAAUAUCCCUUCAUCUUAUUGCAAAUUGCUUGCAGCAUCCUUCUAUUACACAGGCUUAAUGCUUGAAAAAUAGAGAUUUAAUACUCCACCAUAUCAGACUAAGUGAGGUCAAAGCAAUUCAUAUUCACAAUCCCACAAAGCUCCCUGAUAAUGUUUCCUGUGUGAAAUAUGGAUGUGGUGGUAAUAAACUGGGGAGUCCUUGCCCUCCGCUUCGAACGGUCCCACAACAGCGAAUGGCGCGAUGGAGCCCUUGGAGCCGGAGCGUUCGGCUCGUUUCCGAAGGACGGCAGGUGGUUCUGGGGCACGGAGGGUGGAGGGAUGGGGUGUGUGUGUGGGGGGGGACGUGGCCCUGCCCCACCACUGUCCCCAGACGCCUCUGUUGCCUUCCCACCCUGGCAGCUCCUGCUCCCUUCCUGGCCUUAAGAGGCUCCCGCUAAGGGAACUUGUCUUUGACCCUGGGAAAGGGCACCUCCUCUUUAGUGGGAAAUGCAGGAAAGGUUUAUAUCCCCAUCUGCAGGACCUGCAGGAAUGCCCAAAAGCCUUUAAGAAAGAGAGACCAAAGAUGGUCUACACCGUAGAUAGUCAAAGACUAUACUUUGCUUGGACACUGAAGAAAUGAGACUUUUUGGUAUGUUGGAAGUAAUGGGACUCUGUAAUAGGGCUGCCACGAGAAGAGCAGCUCUGAACAUCUGCAGGAUGCCCGGUGGGGUCUGGCUGUCCCUGCUCCAGCUGCAGAGGAACACGUCCCGUGGGGAAGCGCUGGGGCUGUGCCGUUGGCCCAGCCAUGCCGAGGCAGGCUGCCUUUCUGCUUGCUGCCUUUUGCACAGACAGUGCUUGUCACCAGCGCCGUCAUUAAAAGAUUACAGGUCACAAAAAGGAUUAUUUCUGAAUUUGCAGAAUUCUUAGAAUGCAGCUACUGGACUAAAAUUAACUGGUUCAUUUAUAGUCCUCAUGCGAGGUCUAUAAAAAUACCUUGAUUACAGAAGGAGGGCUGGCUGCAGAGAGCGGCCGAGGUUUUCCCUGCUGGGAGCAAUCUACCGGUGGCAGCAGGUCACGUCGACGUGCCUGUGCAUCGCACCUCUGCAGCAAGCGUUCCCGGGAAGGGAGCCGUCAGGAGCGCGCGGCCUCCUCCGUGGCACGCGACACGCUGAUGAGAGCUGAUGGGUGGCUAAUUGCCCAGCGAGGCCGGCGUGAUGGAGCCGUUCUCGGAGCACCUCAGCUGCGAGGUCAGCAGUGACGCAGACGGCAUAAUUUUUCAUAGCGUGCUCCUUGUAUCCUGCAACUCCUGCUGUAAUGGACUAGCAAAUUACCACAGUAUUUAAAAAGUAGCAAUUUAUAACAUUUUGAUAACCACAUGCUCCUGAGGCUCUAUCAUCUGCGCCUGCAGAGAGAGUGCAUGGGAGGGAUCUCCUGCCCACGGCCUGGACACAUGCGCGUAGCAGCACACGCGUGCGCCCUGCUCGCCUGCCCCUCCGCGCACAUCCGCGGCUCGUCCAGCCGGAUCCUGGAAAACCCCCUCCCUCUCCAGCAUGGGCUCACUGCUCCCAUUCCUGUUCAUCUGAGUGUAUUUCUGACUCGGGGAAGUGGCUGAUGAAGCUGAGAACCUGUGUUACGUGCCAAGCAACCCGGAUGGCUGCCUGGGCUGGAGGCUGCGAGCAGCACGUGCUGACACGGCCAAGUCUGAAGUCCUACGUCUAGGAGCAGACGGCGGAGGCCAGUUCUCCACCCGGGGGACUAGGAACAGGGGUCCUGCUCUGAGAAGGACGCUAGGGCUAGGUAGCUCAUUCACACUUGCCAUUUUGGGGUAUUUUCCAGACAUGCUACCAACACCCAUUUCUUUCUUACCAGAUGCAGAGAAGAAGGCAGCUUCUCACAGGCUGAGAGGGGGAUGCAGACGUGGUGUUUUCACGUCACUGGCAGGGCCGCAGAGCCCUCCCGGCCUCCCCUUGCCCUGGCUCAGCUCCCUGGAGCCCACGUGGCCAGUGAACUCCAGUUACUCUGGUGUAACUCCAGUUCGCCAGCCGGGUGCCCGGCAGGUCUCACGUGUGCGCUGUCUCUCAUCACAUGGGCGUUGCUUUAGUGCCCGGGAGCUGUCAGGAUCGUUGCUGUGAUCACGACAAAGUGGCAGGGCUCGUGGAGCCGUUGCGGCCCUAUUUACAAAGCCCCAGGUCAGCGGGCAGUUUUUUCCAGACCUUCUCCUUCUCCGUCCCACGUGCCCUGCCGCGGGUCUGCGCGCUGCCCGCGAGUGCGCUCGCACCGUGACGCGCACAUCUCGCGCUCUGCUUUAAGUGCGCGCCGCCCCGCAGCAGGCACGUCGCUUGGUCCGUGGGAGACACUGUUUCUGCUUCCUUUAAAGAAGGAAUCUGAAGAAUUCAGCGCAAGAAGAAUUUGCAUAGAGACAUUCAUCCCUUUCCAGUAAAUAAAACCUCACCCCUAGCUCACGGCAGCCGAUCGGCUCUUCCCAGCAGAGUGGGCCGGGAGCUGGGAGGUGCAGGAGCCGGAGGAAGCUGGUGACCGUCCUGGACUUGAUGGACAUGUCUUCUGGAGACGUGGAUGCUGCAGACUGUGCAAGCCUGUAGCAACGCACACUCUCCAAGAGCAGGCGUGUGCUUGCCCACUUGGCGUGCUUUGACCACGCGUGUGCGGGUAAAUCCAUGCCUCUGUGCUUCAGUACACAGCUUGCCGCAAAUGUGCGUGUGAGUGCAUGUGUUUGAUAGCAAACUAUUCCUGCUAGUACCUCAACAACGCUUUUUAUUAACUGCUUUCCCUCUAGAGUGAUGUAACCCUGCUCCAUGCAAUAAAGAUGGGUCCAAUUAAUCAGAUGGAUAAAAGUGGUUAAUGCA